CUGAUGACCACCACCGAGAUGGUUGUCCCCUUCUCUGUUUGAUUGCCUCCGCAUCUGCUUCUAUAAAACUUCAGAUGCAAGGAUGUCGUUUAGACUUAUCACUUUGUUGAUUAAUUGAUUAAAUCAGAGCUCCAAACAUCGCAAUCAAGAUCGGUUGGUCGAAUCGACAGUGUGAGGGUAAGGUUGGCAAUGGUGAACAAGAGCAAGGGCAUCUCACUGCCUCGUCAUGCAGUCCUCCAUGUUGUCCAUCCCCAAAGGCCACUACUCCGAAGAUCCCAUGCUCCAGUAGCUAAAAAAGCAAAAGUUGCUACCUACAGGUGUCCAUUUUGUGUUGCUAUAUUUUUCUCUCAGUCACUGGAUUGUAUGCUUAUAAGCAACAGACUGCUGGCUCCAAAGAAACGGAGAUGAGCGGAUGAGGGCGAGAAUGGUGUAGUGGCUGAUGGUACUUGAUGUAAUAAUCAGAAAAUUUAUCUAGGUACUUGAGGUAAUAAUCAUGUGUAGUGGCUGAUGGUACAUGUUGUCUAACUUAUUUCCAUCCCUGAAACAAUGCAUCUUGUGUUGUGCAUACUUUUUUAAGACUAUAACAUAAAACAUAACUGCUUUGACGAGUGUGCUAUGCAUUUUGGUUGGAACAUUAUGUUUUUUUCCAAAAUGUUCUACAAAAUAUCAUGGACCUAGCAAAAAAAACAAAAAAAACAGACAUGUAUGUCUGUAGCAUCAUGGAUAAAAAUAUUGACCUGUGAGACAUACUUACACAAUUUUACUGCAUUUUCUGAACUUAAUAUGUUUGUGUAACCCUGUUAUGGAUGGUUACUGUAGUGGUACUGUAGCGGGCCUUCUUGGGCCCUGGCAAACCCUCUUCUAUUUGCUUUCAGAUACU